ACUGGGAUAGCUCAGUUGGUGGAGAUUGAGAUUCUUUAUCGCAGGGUUGUGGGUUCAAGUCUCACCCUGAGCA